CAGCUAGUUGGUAGGGUAAAGGCCUACCAAGGCUACGAUCCAUAGCUGGUCUGAGAGGGUGACCCCCCACACUGGGACUGAGACACGGCCCAGACUCCUACGGGAGGCAGCAGUGAGGGAUAUUGCACAAUGGGCGCAAGCCUGAUGCAGCGACGCCGCGUGGAUGAUGAAGGCUUUCGGGUCGUAAAAUCCUUUUGCGCGUGACGAGAACAAGGACGGUAGCGCGCGAAUAAGUCUCGGCUAACUACGUGCCAGCAGCCGCGGUAAAACGUAGGAGACAAACGUUAUCCGGAGUUACUGGGCGUAAAGGGCGUGCAGGUGGCUUGAUAAGUUCGGCGUGAAAUUUCCCGGCUUAACCGGGGGAUGUCGUCGGAGACUGUCGAGCUAGAGGGUGAUAGAGGCGUGUGGAAUUCCGGGUGUAGUGGUGAAAUGCGUAGAGAUCCGGAGGAACACCAGUGGCGAAGGCGACACGCUGGGUCAUACCUGACACUAAAACGCGACAGCAUGGGGAGCGAACGGGAUUAGAAACCCCGGUAGUCCAUGCCGUAAACGAUGCCAACUCGGUGUUUGGUCCGGGGAACCGGACUGGGUACCCAAGCAAAC
rnacentral:rRNA from 1 species